GGAUAUUAAAGGGGCAAAUAUACUUGUGGAUCCUAAUGGUGAAGUCAAGCUUGCUGAUUUUGGCAUGGCUAAACAUAUAGCAUCUUAUACUUCAAUACGAUCUCUUAAAGGAAGUCCCUACUGGAUGGCUCCUGAGGUUAUCAUGAAUGGAAGUGGCUACAACCUCUCUGUGGAUAUUUGGAGCCUUGGUUGCACAGUGCUUGAGAUGGCAACAUCAAAACCUCCAUGGAGCCAGUUUGA